rnacentral:rRNA from 1 species
GAUGAACGCUAGCGGCAGGCUUAAUACAUGCAAGUCAAACGGGAUUAGUAGCAAUACUAAUUCAGUGGCGGACGGGUGAGUAACGCGUACACAACCUACCUUUCAGAGGGGGAUAGCAUCUGGAAACGGGUGGUAAUACCGCAUAGUUUUGGAGGAUGGCAUCAUUUUCCAAAUAAAGCUACGGCGCUGAGAGAUGGGUGUGCGUAUGAUUAGGUAGUUGGUAGGGUAAAGGCCUACCAAGCCGACGAUCAUUAGGGGGUGUGAGAGCAUGGCCCCCCACACGGGUACUGAGACACGGACCCGACUCCUACGGGAGGCAGCAGUAAGGAAUAUUGGUCAAUGGACGGAAGUCUGAACCAGCCAUGCCGCGUGCAGGAAGAAGGCGCUCUGCGUUGUAAACUGCUUUUAUAUGGGAAGAAUAGGCUUGAUUUAUCAAGUUGUGACGGUACCAUAGGAAUAAGCACCGGCUAACUCCGUG